rnacentral:lncRNA from 1 species
AGUGCUGUGCGACAGAGAGAGGAUGAAACACAACAAGGAGCGCAGGGCAGGGAGGAUCUCCGUAGGGCUGAAGCCGGAGCUGGCACUUCACCUGCCUAACAUGGAAUGCUGCUUCUUAAAUGGCGUUAGAUUGGAUUCUGGUGAAUUAAGGACUGUUCACAAAUCUGGAACAGAAACAAAUGAUCACUCCGUAACAAGAACUCCAAGGAACAAGUGAUGGAAUGAGUGCCCAUCCUCUGCUCUUACCUCCGGGACCAGCAGCCAAGCAAACAACAGUCUGCCUGUACCCCUGCAAGCUUACUGGAGCCAGGGACAACCAGGCAGGAGUCUAACAAAGCUGUCCUCUCAGAAGCUUCAUCCCGCAGCUGAUGAAACCAGAUACAGAGACCCACAGCCAAACAAAAGGAGGAGCUCUGGGAGUCUUGUGGAAGAGUGGGAAGAAGUAUUAAGGGAGACAGAGAGGUCAAGAACACCAUAAGAAUACCUAAAGAGUGAACUAACCUGGGCCAAUGGGGAUGUCACAGGGACUGAACCACUAACCAAAGAGCAUGCGUGGGUUACUCCUAUGUAGCACACGCGGAGCAGAUGUGCAGCUUGUUCUUCAUGUGGGUCCUCUAACAAUUGGAGCAGGUUGACUCUGACUCUUUUGCCUGCCCUUGGAUCCCUUUUCCCUUGCUGAACUACCUUGUUAGGUCCUACCAAGUUCUGGGACUGAAACCAUGCAUCAUUAUGGCUCUUCAAGGUUAAAUUCAUUUUAUUCCUCCAGAACAAAUGGAAAGUGUCACAUAGAUAGGCAGUGAUGGAUAAUGACACUGUCACAACCCACCAUCCAGGGAAUAAAACUUUGGAACUGAAACUGCUAACAAAAAAACUCCUUUAAAAUCCAGCUUUUAAAGUUAUUUCUAAAGAAGAGAAUUGAGCCCUAGGACUGAUUCCAGCAAAACAGAAGAAUAAUUCUGGAAGUAUUUUUCUAAAUUAUUUAGGUCAUCAACAUAGUUUACGAAGAAAAUAAAAGUGAGACAAGAACAUUUUCAUUAAGAAAAAAUAAAGACAUAAAAAUUACCACAGGAGGGACUGGAGAGAUGGUUCAGCGGUUAAGAGCACUGACUGCUCUUCCAGAGAUCCUGAGUUGGUCAGAAGAGGGGCUGAAUCUCUGGCGGUGGGUGGAGCUACAGACUGUCGUGACACACCGUGUGGGUGCUGGAAAUUAAACAGGGACCUCUGGAAGAACAGCAAGUACCCUGAACCACCGAGCCUUCUCUCCAGCCCCAGGGUUCUUAUUUUAAUAUGUUUAUAAGCUAGGUCCGAGGUGCUCUGCCAUGCUACAAAUAUCCAAGUUCCCAAGUGAUUCUGACAAGAGAUGAAAGACGCGCUUUACAAAAAUGAUUUUAAAAUAAAACAAAAUAACAACAAAAAUACAC